rnacentral:rRNA from 1 species
AUUGAACGCUAGCGGGAUGCUUAACACAUGCAAGUCGAACGGAGUGGCGGACGGGUGAGUAAUGUAUCGGAAAGUGCCCGAUAGCGGGGGAUAACUACUGGAAAGGGUAGCUAAUACCGCAUACUAUCAGAUGGGCCCAGAUGGGAUUAGCUAGUUGGUGGGGUAACGGCUCACCAAGGCGACGAUCCGUAGCUGGUUUGAGAGGACGACCAGCCACACUGGGACUGAGACACGGUCCAGACUCCUACGGGAGGCAGCAGUGGGGAAUUUUGGACAAUGGGGGAAACCCUGAUGCAGCCAUCCCGCGUGUAUGAUGAAGGCCUUCGGGUUGUAAAGUACUUUUGGCAGAGAAGCGGUAUCUGCAGAAUAAGCACCGGCUAACUACGUGCCAGCAGCCGCGGUAAUAC